AGUGAACGCUGGCGGUAGGCCUAACACAUGCAAGUCGAACGGCAGCACAGUAAGAGCUUGCCCUUACGGGUGGCGAGUGGCGGACGGGUGAGGAAUACAUCGGAAUCUACUUUUUCGUGGGUGAUAACGUAGGGAAACUUACGCUAAUACCGCAUACGACCUACGGGUGAAAGCAGGGGAUCUUCGGACCUUGCGCGAUUGAAUUAGCCGAUGUCGGAUUAGCUAGUUGGCGGGGUAAAGGCCCACCAAGGCGACGAUCCGUAGCUGGUCUGAGAGGAUGAUCAGCCACACUGGAACUGAGACACGGUCCAGACUCCUACGGGAGGCAGCAGUGGGGAAUAUUGGACAAUGGGCGCAAGCCUGAUCCAGCCAUACCGCGUGGGUGAAGAAGGCCUUCGGGUUGUAAAGCCCUUUUGUUGGGAAAGGAAAGCAGCAGGUUAAUACCCCGCUGUUCUGACGGUACCCAAAGAAUAAGCACCGGCUAACUUCGUG
rnacentral:rRNA from 1 species